AUUAAACGCUGGCGGCAUGCCUUACACAUGCAAGUCGAACGGCAGCACGGGGGCAACCCUGGUGGCGAGUGGCGGACGGGUGAGUAACACAUCGGAACGUGCCCUGGAGUGGGGGAUAACGCAGCGAAAGCUACGCUAAUACCGCAUAUUCUGUGAGCAGGAAAGCAGGGGAUCGCAAGACCUUGCGCUUUGGGAGCGGCCGAUGUCGGAUUAGCUAGUUGGUGGGGUAAAGGCUUACCAAGGCGACGAUCCGUAGCGGGUCUGAGAGGAUGAUCCGCCACACUGGGACUGAGACACGGCCCAGACUCCUACGGGAGGCAGCAGUGGGGAAUUUUGGACAAUGGGCGGAAGCCUGAUCCAGCCAUGCCGCGUGAGUGAAGAAGGCCUCGGUU
rnacentral:rRNA from 1 species